rnacentral:rRNA from 1 species
CCUACGUGAGGCCGCAGUGAGGAAUAUUGGUCAAUGGGCGAGAGCCUGAACCAGCCAAGUCGCGUGAAGGAUGACGGCCCUACGGGUUGUAAACUUCUUUUGUCAGGGAGCAAUUGAGUCCACGUGUGGGCUUCUCGAUAGUACCUGAAGAACAAGCAUCGGCUAACUCCGUCCCAGCAGCCGCGGUAAUCCGGAGGAUGCGAGCGUUAUCCGGAUUUAUUGGGUUUAAAGGGUGCGUAGGCGGAAUAUCAAGUCAGCGGUAAAAAUUCGGGGCUAAACCCCGUCGUGCCGUUGAAACUGAUGGUCUUGAGUGGGCGAGAAGUAUGCGGAAUGCGUGGUGUAGCGGUGAAAUGCAUAGAUAUCACGCAGAACUCCGAUUGCGAAGGCAGCAUACCGGCGCCCAACUGACGCUGAAGCACGAAAGCGUGGGUAUCGAACAGGAUUAGAUACCCCUGUAGUC